CCUGUAAUCUGACCUGGUCCACAUGCCAUCCACCUCUCAGGGGUAUCUUCAAUCUUGAACCCCAUCCUUCCUGAACUCCAGGUGUGUGUUUCUAGUGGCCCACUUGACACCUCCCCGAGACACCCCGGCAAUAUCUCAGACUCAGCCUGGGGACAAGGAACUCUGGACAGUCCUUCUGUCCAUUACUCCUACUUCUGACUUCCCGUCUCAGACAUGGCAUCCCCACCGUCACCUAGAGGCAAACAUCCUGGGGUCAUGUCAGACUACUCUCUCUCAUCCUGUACAGCAGAAAAUCAGCUCUACCACAAACGAGAUUCAGAGACUCACCUCCUCUCCUGCUACAGAGCCAUUGCCAGGAUCCAGUCACAAUCGACAUUCAACAGGACUGUGCCCUCCACUUGGCCCCCGGCUCCACCCUCACCCCCAGUCUUCUUCCUCUCGGCAGGCAGAACAGCCUCUUCAGACCCAGCGUCAGAUCACUUCCCUCUUCUGAGGCCACGUGUCAUGGACCCGCCCCCUCAGGAGAGGCCCAGCUCCUCAGGCUGCCAUCACAGAAAUGACUAAUGACCUCAGUAUUUAUCAGCCCACGUCAUGGGUUCGGCAGUUCCCUGAAGACUCCCCUCUCAGUCUCAUCUCCAGGCUGUGCCCAAGGACAUGUCACCACUUGACCUUCUCCACUGGACACAUGGGAACACCUCUGUACAACUUCUGGCUUUGAUUAAUGGUCCUGUGCCUGAGAUGAUGACAGGGCCCAGACCUAAGGGCCCAUAAUCCCAGGACAACACUGUCUCCUAUAUCUGUGUGUCAGGACUAGGGGUAGCGAUGAUGUCUGGGUAGGUACUGGGGCUUCUUCCACUUACCUGUCCAGGGACCAUAAAUGCUGCUGCCACCAUGGGAACCUGUGAAAAGAGGGAGUAUCUGAGGUAAAGGUGAUUAUGGUGAGGAUGUAAAGGCUGAGCUGUUUCUUCCCUUCCUUUUCCUGGACAUGAGUCAUCUGAGGCUGACCUCUGACCUCAGAUCCUCACUCUUCAGAGCUAUAGCUUGACAACUCGAUAGCCUUAGACAAAGAUUCAACAUCCUUGGGACUUCCCUGGUGGUCCAGUGGUUAAGACUUCAAGCUUCCACUGCAGGGAGCCCGGGUGCCAUCCCUGGUUGGGGAACUAAGAUCCCACAUGCCGUGUGGUGUGGCAAGAAAAAAAACACUCACCCUCUUUGAGUCUCAGUGUCUUCAAGUAAAUGGCAACACUUAGGAUGUCUAACUCAUAAUGUGUACAUACCAAAUGCAUUAUUACCUCUCCCAUGGUAAGAUUCAGCUAUUACAGAACACAGGAUUAAGAUUUCUAUAAAUGUUUUUGAAAAUUAGGUUUUUCUUACAUGUCUUUCAAGGCUUUCUGAGACAAAGUAUCUUUUUUCAGCCACCAAUUAUCUAAUUUUAUGACACCACCAUGGUGCCCUAAAAUUCAUUCCUAUUAUUACACUACCUGAACUUAGUGACAGAAUCCACAGGUUUAAGGCAUCAAACCCAUAAACUGCCCUCUUUUGAGAAGCCAGUUCCGACCCCUGGUUCCCAGGCUACCAGGACUUCUGUCCCACUUGGCUACAAAUUCAGGGUUUCCCAUGAACCCCUUCUCUGUUUUGAUAAUUUGCUGAAAUGACCCAUGAAGUUAGGAAAACACUUUUCUUACUUUUUCUGGUUUACUGUAAUGUACAACUUUGGAACAGUCAAAUGGAAGCGACGUCUAGGUCAGGGUUGGGGAGGAUGGAGGGCAGCAGGGGGUUUCUAGGCCUUUUCAGUACAUGCCACCCUCCCAGCACUUCCACCAUUUCAAUGUGUUCACCAAUCUGAAGGAACCUUGAAUUUCAUUGUUCAGCAGUUUUUACACUUAAUCUCCAGCUCCCCCCUGAUCCUUGGGAGGUCCCAUGUGGAGAUGAAAGUUUAACCUUCUAUUCACCUUAUUUUCCAGGUGACCAGUCCAAUCCUGAGGUUAUCUAGGGGACCCACCUUUCCUGGGAGAGCUGAGGCACGUGUGCCCUUGACUGGGCCUGAGCUGCUCCACCACCCUGGCUGACCGUUUUCUGGCUCCACAAGGAAUAGACAGUCAGCUGCGUGUUCAGAGCAGUGAAGCUACACGUCACACCUUCUUCUCCAUCUCCAUCCCAGGACCCUGUGGGCGCGGUGGUGCCAGGAGACGCGCAGGAUAAUGGCGGAGACCUAGGCCGAAAAUCCCGGAAGCGGGUUCCGCAACCCGCUCACUCCUGGGCAGUGUGGACGGCGCCCCCUCAGGCUCCUUCCAGUUUCUCUAAGCUCCGCUCCACCGAGUGACCUAGAGCCUCGGGUCCUGCAGACGGCAGCAAAAGCCGCCAAACGACCGCCAUCAGAAAGACGCCGGAAGUCCCGCCCAUGGUUAGUUCAAAAUCCGGAAGAGCCUUAAUUUGGUGCCUUCAUUGGAGAGGAGAACAAGGCCGGUCCACGCAAGCUUCUGGAGAUCACCAUCGUGCCAGGACUUGGCCCAUUCUGGAGCAGUGCUGCAUAGCUUUGUGGUUAUACAUUACAGACACCAGAUGCCGCCAACCUGGUGUACAACUUUGUUCAGCUGCUCAUCAGAUCCCUGCCUUUCAGCAAGUACAUUUAUCUCCCUGAGAGUUGAUUUCAUCCUAUGGAAAAUGAUGCCUGUGAGGCACCUGCUUCAUGGGGAGGCUGUGAGGAAAAGCCAAAAUAGAAGCAUUUAGGGCCAGGCCCACAGGAAGAGAUGCCUAAAGCUUGCAGAUGAAGAUUCAAACCAUGUUCCUGAAAAGGAGACCAAAGUAUGCGUACACAAGGACAACCACGAGCUGACUGGAUGUGUGCCACACUGAGGAGCUUCCCACAGACAUCCAGAGGCAGGGAACUCCUGCCUCUGGAUGUCUGUGGGAAGCUCCUCAGUGUGGCCUCGUUGGGGGCCUGGUUGUUUCUUGCUCACAUCAAGGUCCAGUGUGGGUCAGAAUGGAGCUCUGGGGAGCACAAUUGUUCAGGGACCCAGGUUCCUUCUCCUGUCACCAUGUGGCUUUAAGUUUGCUCUGGCAUCAUCCUGUUUGCAUAGGAGAAAUGAGAGAGGAGGGCAGAAGUCAUAACCACUUGCACACAGACAUCCCUUCCACUCUCAUGCCAUUGACAGGAGGCCACACCUGGGUGCCAGGACUGGGACGUGUGGUUUGCUGUGUUCCUGAGGAGAUAAGAAAAUGAGCUUGGUUUACAAUCCCAUGGGAUGCUGAGAACGUGAAGCUCACCUUGCUGGAGUCAUUUUCUAAUUAACCUAAUUAAAUGGAUCUGAAAUAUUCUGUUCAUCAGUCUACUACUAUUUUUUUAAAUCGAAGUGUAGUUAAUUUACAAUGUUGUAUUAGUUUCAGAUGUACAGCAAACUGAUUCAUAUAUACAUAUAUCUUUGGAUUCUUUCCCAUUAUAGGUGAUUACAGGAUAUUGAAUAUAGUUCCCUGUGCUAUAGUUACUUUUUAAAAAUUCUCACUUUGCUCUUGACAAAUAGAAUGAUAAUCAUUUCUGUGGCUUUGUGUUGCUUGAGGAUGUAAUGACAUAAUGCACA